UACGGGGGGGGUAAGCGUUGUUCGGAAUUACUGGGCGUAAAGGGCUCGUAGGCGGCCAACUAAGUCAGACGUGAAAUCCCUCAGCUUAACUGGGGAACUGCGUCUGAUACUGGAUGGCUUGGAUUCGGGAGAGGAAUGCGGAAUUCCAGGUGUAGCGGUGAAAUGCGUAGAUAUCUGGAGGAACACCGGUGGCGAAAGCGGCUCUCUGGGGUAUUGCUGACGCUGAGGCACGAAAGCCAGGGGAGCGAACGGG
rnacentral:rRNA from 1 species